rnacentral:rRNA from 1 species
AUUGAACGCUGGCGGCAUGCCUUACACAUGCAAGUCGAACGGUAACAGGUCUUCGGAUGCUGACGAGUGGCGAACGGGUGAGUAAUACAUCGGAACGUGCCCGAUCGUGGGGGAUAACGGAGCGAAAGCUUUGCUAAUACCGCAUACGAUCUACGGAUGAAAGCGGGGGAUCUUCGGACCUCGCGCGGACGGAGCGGCCGAUGGCAGAUUAGGUAGUUGGUGGGAUAAAAGCUUACCAAGCCGACGAUCUGUAGCUGGUCUGAGAGGAUGAUCAGCCACACUGGGACUGAGACACGGCCCAGACUCCUACGGGAGGCAGCAGUGGGGAAUUUUGGACAAUGGGGGCAACCCUGAUCCAGCCAUGCCGCGUGCAGGAUGAAGGCCUUCGGGUUGUAAACUGCUUUUGUACGGUAACGAAAGAACUCUGGUUAAUACCUGGGGUCCAUGACGGUACCGUAAGAAUAAGCACCGGCUAACUACGUGCCAGCAGCCGCGGUAAUCACG